CUACGGGGUGCUGCAGUGGGGAAUAUUGCACAAUGGGCGCAAGCCUGAUGCAGCCAUGCCGCGUGUAUGAAGAAGGCCUUCGGGUUGUAAAGUACUUUCAGCGGGGAGGAAGGGAGUAAAGUUAAUACCUUUGCUCAUUGACGUUACCCGCAGAAGAAGCACCGGCUAACUCCGUGCCAGCAGCCGCGGUAAUACGGAGGGUGCAAGCGUUAAUCGGAAUUACUGGGCGUAAAGCGCACGCAGGCGGUUUGUUAAGUCAGAUGUGAAAUCCCCGGGCUCAACCUGGGAACUGCAUCUGAUACUGGCAAGCUUGAGUCUCGUAGAGGGGGGUAGAAUUCCAGGUGUAGCGGUGAAAUGCGUAGAGAUCUGGAGGAAUACCGGUGGCGAAGGCGGCCCCCUGGACGAAGACUGACGCUCAGGUGCGAAAGCGUGGGAGCAAACAGGAUUAGAUACCCCAGUAGUC
rnacentral:rRNA from 1 species